GACAUCUCUAAGUAUUAAGGGGGUAUAUUUUGUUAGGCCCAUUUGUGUAUUAAUAAUUAACAUAGUAUAUUUUUUUAAAAAAAAUAGAAGUAGAAGAGAGGUAGAGAGAGGUAGUAGUUUCAGUAGAAGAAAACAAGAAGGAGGAAACCGAGAGAGUUAAAGAAAAGAGGGGUUAGGGUUUGAAGAGGAGACCCAAAGUGUUGCUCUAAAGUGCAUUUUUUCUCCAAUUUUCAAUUGAAUCUUCUUAGAGCUGCACUCAAUCCAAGGUAAUCCAGAUGAGUAGCUGUUUCCGCUUAUAGUCGAGUUUUGGGUGUCAUUGCUCUGAUACGUAGCACUCGGGGGGAAAUGAACACUUGCUUGAUGUUGUUAUUUGCUUCUUGAACCUUAUGAUGUAUUUGAGGAUUUGUUUGUAUUGUUUCUUUUUAUGAUUCAAAAGAUGUUAUGCCUUAAUUGUUGAAUCAUUAUGAAUCUGUUGCAUGUUGAACCUAAGUUUGGGUUAUGCUUUGAAUACUAUGUUAUUCAAAAGUUGAGGUAUAUGUUAUGAGUUUGUUCACUCCAA